rnacentral:rRNA from 1 species
UACGAAGGUCCCAAGCCGUUGUUCGGAAUCACUGGGCGUAAAGGGAGCGUAGGCGGCGCGGUAAGUCGGGUGUGAAAUCUCGGAGCUUAACUCCGAAACUGCAUUCGAUACUGCCGUGCUUGAGGACUGGAGAGGAGACUGGAAUUUACGGUGUAGCGGUGAAAUGCGUAGAUAUCGUAAGGAAGACCAGUGGCGAAGGCGGGUCUCUGGACAGUUCCUGACACUGAGGCACGAAGGCCAGGGGAGCAAACGGG